CUUACUCAAAUCAAUAUAACCCUUCUCCUUAUCGACCCUGAGGACCAUGACGGGCUCGAUUCGACCGACCCUAAUUAAGCUGCUGACACUACGAAUUCGACGGCGAGAGAGCUCGGAGAAUAGAAUCAUACCCUCAAUGUUGUUGUACUCAAGAAGGGAGACGUAAGCGCCCAUGUCGGCGAUGUUUUUGACCUGGAUCAUGACGGCCAUGUCGACCUCCGGAUAGCGGGAUUCGUACAUGCGGCACUCGAG
rnacentral:misc_RNA from 1 species